CACGUAGGGCGCAAGCGUUGUCCGGAAUUAUUGGGCGUAAAGAGCUCGUAGCGGUCUGUUGUGUCCGCUGUGAAAACUCGGGGCUUAACCCCGAGCCUGCAGUGGAUACGGGCAGACUAGAGGUAGGUAGGGGAGAAUGGAAUUCCAGGUGUAGCGGUGAAAUGCGUAGAUAUCUGGAGGAACACCGGUGGCGAAGGCGGCAUCCUGGACCGGCAUUGACGCUGAGGAGCGAAAGCCAGGGGAGCAAAGCGGG
rnacentral:rRNA from 1 species